GGCCAUAUGGCGAAGUGGUUAACGCGGCGGUCUGCAAAACCGCUAUUCGUGGGUUCGAUCCUCACUGUGGCCUCCA
rnacentral:tRNA from 1 species